rnacentral:rRNA from 1 species
UACAGAGGGGGCGAGCGUUAAUCGGAAUUACUGGGCGUAAAGCGUGCGUAGACGGUUAUUUAAGUCGGGUGUGAAAGCCCCGGGCUCAACCUGGGAAUUGCAUUCGAGACUGAAUAGCUAGAGUACGGUAGAGGGAAGUGGAAUUUCCGGUGUAGCGGUGAAAUGCGUAGAUAUCGGAAGGAACAUCAGUGGCGAAAGCGACUUCCUGGACCAGUACCGACGUUCAGGCACGAAAGCGUGGGGAGCGAACAGG